rnacentral:rRNA from 1 species
AAUCGGGGGUCUAGUAUCCUUGACCAAUUCUCAAACUUUAAAUUGGUAAGAACUACGAGUUAUCUUAAUUGAACUCGGAGGUAGAAUGCAUUGUUCUUAGUGGGCCAUUUUUGGUAAGCAGAACUGGCGAUGAGGGGAUGAACCUAACGUUGAGAUAAGGUGCCAAAAUUCACGCUCAUGAGAUACCAUAAAAGGUGUUGGUUAGUAUAAACAGCCGGACUGUGGCCAUGGAAGUCGGCACCAGCUAAGGAGUGUGUAACAACUCACCAGCCGAAUUAACCAGCCCUGAAAAUUGAUGGCGCUAAGCGUGAUACCGAUACUCAACCAUUACAAUAAAUAGAAGUUGUAAUGAGUAAGAGGGCGUGAAUACUGUGUAGAAGGCUUGAACGUGAGUUUGGCUGGAACAGUAUUUAGUGCAGAUCGUUGGUGGUAGUAGCAAAUAAUUCAAAUGAGAACUUUGAAGACCGAAGUGGAGAAGGGUUCCAUGAGAACAGCAUUUG